CCUACGGGAGGCAGCAGUAGGGAAUCUUCCGCAAUGGGCGAAAGCCUGACGGAGCAACGCCGCGUGAGUGAUGAAGGUUUUCGGAUCGUAAAGCUCUGUUGCCAAGGAAGCGGUACUUGAGAAGAAAGCCCCGGCUAACUACGUGCCAGCAGCCGCGGUAAUACGUAGGGGGCAAGCGUUGUCCGGAAUUAUUGGGCGUAAAGCGCGCGCAGGCGGUUCUUUAAGUCUGGUGUUUAAACCUGGGGCUCAACUUCAGGUCGCACUGGAAACUGGGGGACUUGAGUGCAGAAGAGGAGAGUGGAAUUCCACGUGUAGCGGUGAAAUGCGUAGAUAUGUGGAGGAACACCAGUGGCGAAGGCGACUCUCUGGGCUGUACUGACGCUGAGGCGCGAAAGCGUGGGGAGCAAACAGGAUUAGAUACCCUUGUAGUC
rnacentral:rRNA from 1 species